GAUCCUGGCUCAGGACGAACGCUGGCGGCGUGCCUAAUACAUGCAAGUAGAACGCACAGUUUAUACCGUAGCUUGCUACACCAUAGACUGUGAGUUGCGAACGGGUGAGUAACGCGUAGGUAACCUGCCUGGUAGCGGGGGAUAACUAUUGGAAACGAUAGCUAAUACCGCAUAAUAUUAAUUAUUGCAUGAUAAUUGAUUGAAAGGUGCAAAUGCAUCACUACCAGAUGG
rnacentral:rRNA from 1 species